rnacentral:rRNA from 1 species
UACGUAGGGAGCAAGCGUUGUCCGGAAUCAUUGGGCGUAAAGAGCUCGUAGGCGGCUUGGUAAGUCGGAUGUGAAACCUCCAGGCUCAACCUGGAGUCGCCAUCCGAUACUGCCAUGCUAGAGUCCGGUAGGGGCCCACGGAACUCCUGGGUGUAGCGGUGAAAUGCGCAGAUAUCAGGAAGAACACCGGUGGCGAAGGCGGUGGGCUGGGCCGGCACUGACGCUGGAGGAGCGAAAGCGUGGGGAGCGAACAGG